UUUUUUUUUCUUUUUCCAAACUAAACUAGGAAAAGAAGAAAAAAAUUAUAUUAAUAUAUCAGGGAAGGAUGUGAGUUUGAAAUAACCUGCUUCCAAGAGAGGAACCCCGGACGGUGUCGGCUCCACUGGAUGUCUGGUGGCCGCAGGGUGCAAGGGAAGAUAAAUUAUACUUACCAGAACCUGUCACCCGCAGCAAAGGCCAUGGUCCUCCUGCCGAUUCAGUUUCUGGUGAUUCAACUGCCAGGAACCUAUGUCAAUGUUAUACUCUCGUACACUGAGGUCUGUAAAGAAUCCUGCGAGACCAUGGGGUCCUACAUAGACAAAGCCUUUUUCCCUACAGCUGUCACUAAGUAUUGCUGGGGAAAUGACAAAAUUUGACAAAGGUAGUUCUGCCUUUUGUCAUGUUUUGUUAAUUGUAGGAAAAAUACUGAUGUGAAUUAGCCCCUACAUUGUCAUUGUAUUUUUUUACAUUGUUGGAGUUUUAGUGAUAUUCCAACACAGUCAAUGAGUAUCUUAUAGAGAUUUUAUCUUUACUUCCAAAGAGGAAUCUUGGCACACAAGACGCUGUGCAAACAGUUUAUAAUGGAACCAUGUCACAAGAUUUGUGCAGUUCUCUUUUGGUUAAAUUUUUUUAUCUAUCAGAAAUACUUAUUGGGAAGGGGGAGGAGGGGAAGUGCCGUUUUAACCCCUUCAUGACAGAUGACAUGGGUUAAAAUCUGUUAGAGAUAUAAUAUUUGCAUUAGCAAGAUUUAUAUGUUGUUUUAGACGAGGGGUUCUCAACCCAGUCCUCAAGGACCCCCUACCAGUCCAGGAUUUAGGGAUUAACUGGGUGUGUCUAAGGUGUUUAGAAAAAAAAAACACCUUAGAUUCUACCGUGUGCUCCCUUACUGGCCUAAUGCAGCCUUCUGUGCCAAGAAGGGUCCAGAGACACUGUAGUCUGCACCCACAGACAUUCAGAGCAUUGGUGCAGGUUCCUGCGGUGAUAUUCUGAAACCACACAAUGCCAGAGUUCUGGAGUACAGCAUAUUUACUCUUCACCUGGCAGGUGUGCAAGCUAAAGUCCGAAACUACCACAGUUUGUCAUGUUCCUCCAUCCCUGGCCAAAGGUAAGAAGUGUUGAAGGGGAAUAAACUGAAAUAAAACAAAAAAUAAGUUACAUCAAAGUUAAAUACAACUGCUUUCCUCUCACCACCCCACAAAUACACGCACACACUGCAUCCCCUACACACACAUUUUUUAAACACACACUACAUCCCCUAUAUCUAUAUCUUUACAUGUAAUCUUUCACACUUCAUCCUUCAAGAGGGCAUGUUAAUUGAAGUGACAACAGCUUUCCCUUCCCACACCUCACUCACCAACCUUAUGUCCUCUCCUGCAAUUAUGUCAUUUAGAAAAAAACUUAGCAAUCAUUAUAAACUCUUCUAGAAAACCCACUUUACCAUUACAUGAAAUACAUUUUUCCCUUAACUCUUGUGUCAUUUUACUCCACACCCCUUAUGUGAGCUUAUUUGAGCAGGGUCCUAGGCACUGUUUCCGUACAUCAAACUUGUCUUGAUGCAGAUGCUUGUUUUUUAGUCUACCUACCAACCGUACAGCCAAUAAAAUUUAUUGGCGUUUUAUAAAUAAUAAUAAGCUGAAGUUUACCAUAAUUACAGUACUGGUUGUGCCAUUUUAUUUUUCCUUCUAAAUUUCUAGUUUAAAUAUAUAUGUAUGCAUCUUAUAUUCAAAAAGUAUGGUAACUUAAUGCACCCUAAUAUACUGC